rnacentral:rRNA from 1 species
UAAGAAACCAACAGGGAUUGCCCCAGUAACGGCGAGUGAAGCGGCAACAGCUCAAAUUUGAAAUCUGGCCCCUAGGGUCCGAGUUGUAAUUUGUAGAGGAUGCUUUUGGUGAGGUGCCGCCCGAGUUCCCUGGAACGGGACGCCGCAGAGGGUGAGAGCCCCGUCUGGCUGGCCACCGAGCCUCUGUAAAGCUCCUUCGACGAGUCGAGUAGUUUGGGAAUGCUGCUCAAAAUGGGAGGUAUAUGUCUUCUAAAGCUAAAUAUUGGCCAGAGACCGAUAGCGCACAAGUAGAGUGAUCGAAAGAUGAAAAGCACCUUGAAAAGAGGGUUAAACAGUACGUGAAAUUGUUGAAAGGGAAGCGCUUGUGACCAGACUUGGGCGCGGCGGAUCAUCCGGGGUUCUCCCCGGUGCACUUCGCCGUGUUCAGGCCAGCAUCAGUUCGGCGCGGGGGAAAAAGGCUUCGGGAACGUGGCUCCUCCGGGAGUGUUAUAGCCCGUUGCAUAAUACCCUGCGCUGGACUGAGGACCGCGCAUCUGCAAGGAUGCUGGCGUAAUGGUCACCAGCGACC